CGAGUUAUCUGAACCUUCGGGGAACGAUAACGGCGUCGAGGGCGGACGGGUGAGUAAUGCCUAGGAAAUUGCCCUGAUGUGGGGGAUAACCAUUGGAAACGAUGGCUAAUACCGCAUAAUGCCUACGGGCCAAAGAGGGGGACCUUCGGGCCUCUCGCGUCAGGAUAUGCCUAGGUGGGAUUAGCUAGUUGGUGAGGUAAUGGCUCACCAAGGCGACGAUCCCUAGCUGGUCUGAGAGGAUGAUCAGCCACACUGGAACUGAGACACGGUCCAGACUCCUACGGGAGGCAGCAGUGGGGAAUAUUGCACAAUGGGCGCAAGCCUGAUGCAGCCAUGCCGCGUGUGUGAAGAAGGCCUUCGGGUUGUAAAGCACUUUCAGUCGUGAGGAAGGUAGUGUAGUUAAUAGCUGCAUUAUUUGACGUUAGCGACAGAAGAAGCACCGGCUAACUCCGUGCCAGCAGCCGCGGUAAUACGGAGGGUGCGAGCGUUAAUCGGAAUUACUGGGCGUAAAGCGCAUGCAGGUGGUUUGUUAAGUCAGAUGUG
rnacentral:rRNA from 1 species